CGCGCUUCCUCGACUAAGACGCGUUCAGGUGCUCUCAAACGCGUCGCAACAAACUUAAACUGCAAACAUACAGGAAGGAGACGUUUAUCCUCCACUGUCCAGUCCUCCGUGCGGGAACAAGUGCUAUAAUGCAUGGAGGGGCGGAUCACAAAGAGGAUGUACUGCGCACAUUUCUGUCCUCUGUCUACAAAGGGAAAGGAAGCAAAUGAACUCAUAUGGACGGACGGCAUCUUUUGACUUUUGCUGAAUCACCUUGAGGACAUCAAAGCAAUGUUAGUUUCUGAGAGCUGGAAGAGGACAGGCCCAGCGGCCGGUACCAGUCUGGUACCUGUACACGCCACCUUCAGCUUGUGUCUUCAGCAUGGAUGAAACGUCACUCACCCGCAGGGAGCGUCCCCCCCCCUCCUCCUCCUCCACAGUCCCUCACACCGUCAC